rnacentral:rRNA from 1 species
CGAACGCUGGCGGCGUGCUUAACACAUGCAAGUCUAACGGAAAGGCCCUGCUUUUGUGGUGUGCUCGAGUGGCGAACGGGUGAGUAACACGUGAGUAACCUGCCCUUGACUUUGGGAUAACUUCAGGCAACUGGGGCUAAUACCUGAUAGGAGCUCCUGCUGCCUGGUGGGGGUUGGAAAGUUUCGGCGGUUGGGGAUGGACUCGCGGCUUAUCAGCUUGUUGGUGGGGUAGUGGCUUACCAAGGCUUUGACGGGUAGCCGGCCUGGGAGGGUGACCGGCAACAUGGGGACUGAGAUACGGCGCAGACUCCUACGGGAGGCAGCAGGGGGGAGUAUUGCACAAUGGGCGGAAGCCUGAUGCAGCAACGCCGCGUGCGGGAUGACGGCCUUCGGGUUGUAAACCGCUUUCGCCUGUGACGAAGAGUGAGUGACGGUAAUGGGUAAAGAAGCAACGGCUAACUACGUG